GACGAACGCUGACGGUGUGCUUUAGACAUGCAAGUCGAACGCGAAAGCCCUUCGGGGUUAGUAGAGUGGCGAACGGGUGAGUAACACGUGGGCAAUCUGCCCCUCGCAGGGGGACAACCGGAGGAAACUCCGGCUAAUACCCCGUACGCUUGCUGGACCGCAUGGUCCGGCAAGGAAAGGUAGCUUCGGCCAUCCGGCGAGGGAUGAGCCCGCGGUGCAUUAGCUAGUUGGUGAGGUAACGGCNCACCAAGGCAACGAUGCAUAGCUGGUCUGAGAGGAUGAUCAGCCACACUGGGACUGAGACACGGCCCAGACUCCUACGGGAGGCAGCAGUCGGGAAUCUUGCGCAAUGGGCGAAAGCCUGACGCAGCAACACCGUGUGAGCGACGAAGGCCUU
rnacentral:rRNA from 1 species